rnacentral:rRNA from 1 species
UACAGAGGGUGCUAGCGUUAAUCGGAUUUACUGGGCGUAAAGGGCGCGUAGGUGGAUAUUUAAGUGUGAUGUGAAAGCCCCGGGCUUAACCUGGGAAGUGCAUCGCAAACUGGAUAUCUAGAGUACGAGAGAGGGUGGUGGAAUUUCCGGUGUAGCGGUGAAAUGCGUAGAGAUCGGAAAGAACGUCAAUGGCGAAGGCAGCCACCUGGCUCGAUACUGACACUGAGGCGCGAAAGCGUGGGGAGCGAACAGG